rnacentral:rRNA from 1 species
GACGAACGCUGGCGGCGUGCUUAACACAUGCAAGUCGAACGGAAAGGCCCUGCUUUUGUGGGGUGCUCUAGUGGCGAACUGGUGAGUAACACGUGAGUAACCUGCCCUUGACUUUGGGAUAACUUCAUGAAACUUGGGCUAAUACCGGAUAGGAGCUCCUGCUGCAUGGUGGGGGUUGGAAAGUUUCGGCGGUUGGGGAUGGACUCGCGGCUUAUCAGCUUGUUGGUGGGGUAGUGGCUUACCAAGGCUUUGACGGGUAGCCGUCCUGAGAGGGUGACCGGACAAAUUGGGACGGAGAUACGGCCCAGACUCCUACGGGAGGCAGCAGUGGGGAAUAGUGCACAAUGGGCGGAAGCCUGAUGCAGCAACGCAGCGUGCGGGAUGACGGCCAGCGGGUUGUAAACCGCUUUCGCCUGUGACGAAGCGUGAGUGACGGUAAUGGGUAAAGAAGCACCGGCUAACUACGUG